GCUGGCAGCUAGCUCUCUGCAUCUCUUACAUGGUCACCCACUGAAGCUAAGCAGGGCUGCGCCCAGUUAGUACCUUGAUGGGAGACCACAUGAGAAAGCUAGGUUGCUGCCGGAA
ensembl:rRNA 5S_rRNA 5S ribosomal RNA